GAAGUGAGCUGUAGCUCACGAAAGCUUAUGCUCUAAUAAAUUUGUUAGUCUCUAAGGUGCCACAAGUCCUCCUUUUCUUUUUGCGAAUACAGACUAACACGGCUGCUACUCUGAAACCUGAACUAAAGUAGCAACAGGUCCUCCGAAUCCCACUGCUGAGUAUUGUGGUUUUAUAAUCUCACGUUGCUUUAACAAAAAAAAACCAAAAAAACAAACUUUCUUCUCUGGCUGUGGGAAAGAUUCACACUGACAACUGAAACUGACAACACUGUCAAAUGUGUUAAGUGAAGCACCUGUAAAAAUACUUUUUGCUCUGUUCUCUUUCAGUUACAAUAAUCUUAGAUGGAAGGGAAGUACUUGUGGCACCUUAGAGACUA